rnacentral:rRNA from 1 species
AGCGAACGCUGGCGGCAGGCCUAACACAUGCAAGUCGAACGAACCCUUCGGGGUUAGUGGCGGACGGGUGAGUAACACGUGGGAACGUGCCUUUAGGUUCGGAAUAACUCAGGGAAACUUGUGCUAAUACCGAAUGUGCCCUUCGGGGGAAAGAUUUAUUGCCUUUAGAGCGGCCCGCGUCUGAUUAGCUAGUUGGGGAGGUAAUGGCUCACCAAGGCUACGAUCAGUAGCUGGUCUGAGAGGAUGACCAGCCACAUUGGGACUGAGACACGGCCCAAACUCCUACGGGAGGCAGCAGUGGGGAAUCUUGCGCAAUGGGCGAAAGCCUGACGCAGCCAUGCCGCGUGGAUGAUGAAGGUCUUAGGAUUGUAAAAUCCUUUCACCGGUGAAGAUAAUGACUGUAGCCGGAGAAGAAGCCCCGGCUAACUUCGUGCCAGAAGCCGCAGUAAGAC